ACUUGGUCCCCUGCCCCCACAG
rnacentral:miRNA from 1 species